UAUUAAAAAUAAAUAUUACUUUGGCAGAUUAGUGUAAUGAAUUUAGAUUUCAUAAAAAUGAGUAUUUUCAUAGGUAAUAC
rnacentral:tRNA from 1 species